rnacentral:rRNA from 1 species
ACAGAGGGUGCAAGCGUUAGUCGGAGUUACUGGGCGUAAAGGGCGUGUAGGCUGAUAUCUCAGUCGGUUGUGAAAUCCCCGGGCUUAACCUGGGAAUUGCAUUCGAUACUAGAUGUUUUGAGUAUGGUAGAGGAAAGUGGAAUUCUCGGUGUAGUGGUUAAAUACGUAGAUAUCGAGAAGAACACCGGUGGCGAAGGCGGCUUUCUGGACCAAUACUGACGCUGAGGCGCGAAAGCGUGGGGAGCAAACAG